rnacentral:rRNA from 1 species
GAUGAACGCUGGCGGCGUGCCUAAUACAUGCAAGUCGAGCGAACAGAUGAGGAGCUUGCUCCUCUGACGUUAGCGGCGGACGGGUGAGUAACACGUGGAUAACCUACCUAUAAGACUGGGAUAACUUCGGGAAACCGGAGCUAAUACCGGAUAAUAUAUUGAACCGCAUGGUUCAAUAGUGAAAGACGGUUUUGCUGUCACUUAUAGAUGGAUCCGCGCCGCAUUAGCUAGUUGGUAAGGUAACGGCUUACCAAGGCAACGAUGCGUAGCCGACCUGAGAGGGUGAUCGGCCACACUGGAACUGAGACACGGUCCAGACUCCUACGGGAGGCAGCAGUAGGGAAUCUUCCGCAAUGGGCGAAAGCCUGACGGAGCAACGCCGCGUGAGUGAUGAAGGUCUUCGGAUCGUAAAACUCUGUUAUUAGGGAAGAACAAAUGUGUAAGUAACUAUGCACGUCUUGACGGUACCGAAUCAGAAAGCCACGGCUAGCUACGU